GCGGCGGAGGUGUCGAGGAGCCUGGGCGUGCUCUAGCCGCGUCGGUGGAGCGGCGGGCCGGCGCGAUCGCGUCGCGCCGACCGCGC
rnacentral:tRNA from 1 species